UGAGAAACUACACCUGAUUCGAGCUUUAAACAGCACUUUAAAGGCGAAGGAGGCCGAUCUGCAGGCCAUAGAGCAGGUCUUGCGUGAACCGUCUCUGAGCGCUUGUAAAUACAGACAGUGGCGAGAUGCUAAUGUGCUCCUGCUGCAGGAGAUCGGAGAGAAACACGAGAGAGCCGUGGAGCCACAAGCCCAGGAAGCUCUGGUUCAGACUCAGCCUCGGCAUCAGUCGCUCUUCAGCCCGGGCCCUGUGUACACCGAGACCAGCCUGUGAAGAGCAGAGGACAAUAACCGACAUCUACAAACUAAAACAGAUGGGUGCUGUGUGAAGACGACCACAGGAACACAAACAGAGCGGGGUUUCCAGGACUCAAAUGAAGCUUCGCUGAAACGCUUCAAACUCCUACUAGUCUGCAGAAUGCAGUAACUGCAUCAUGGAGAAAAAUUACCUCAAUUUGGAUUCAUUUGAUAUCAGUUUUCUCUGAAUCGGACACAGAAGAGCCUAGCUCAGUCAUUUCUGAAACAUGUAGUUACUGCAUUUUGCCUUUUGUAGUUCAGAAUAACUGUAACAAAUUAAUAAAUAACAGAUGUAUUUCUUGUCAUAUUUGUUCAUAUCAUUCAGUGUUUUGAUAAAGAAAAGUGGGGGAGGAAAAUGUCUGGAGAUGUUCUGUGAACUUUACUCAAACUGCUGAAUGAAAUGGUGAGUUUAAAGGGACUAUGAAUCAUGACACUGUAUUGUCUAGUUUGAUUUUUUUUUUUUUUUUAAUGCAGUCUAUACGCAGGACAAGCACACUCCUGCAUGUACAGUACAUGUCUUGUAUUUGUUACAAAUCACUCCAUUUCACACUCACUAUACAAACACAUCUAAGCUCAGUUCUCUCCUCUGUUCUUAAACUUGUUUGUAUUUGAUGAUUUUAGGAGUGGUGUCUUGUUUACCUUUUUUUUUUUUUUAUACACGACGGCCCCUUUUAGAUGUACAUAUUUAGCAUUUUACAAUUGAAAAUGAAUGUCUUGGGUGUUAUACAUUUUUGUAUAAAAGUCUGAUUUAAUUGUAUAAAUGUUUACUUGAUAUUUUUGGAGUAAUUCAUGCUGAAGGUGUGCCAAAGGAAAUAAAAAUGGCGAUUUAAUAUU